CACCGAAGCUGCGGCAGCGAACGUAUCACCCAAGACAACUUUACGGAGUUGACGAUUGACGGAGCGAAGCGACGUCAAAGCGUUCAUUAAAGUCGAGUUGGCUUAGGGAUACGUUCGUUGGGUAGGGGAGCGUUCUGUAAGCCUGUGAAGGUGUGUCGUGAGGCAUGCUGGAGGUAUCAGAAGUGCGAAUGCUGACAUAAGUAACGAUAAAGCGGGUGAAAAGCCCGCUCGCCGGAAGACCAAGGGUUCCUGUCCAACGUUAAUCGGGGCAGGGUGAGUCGACCCCUAAGGCGAGGCCGAAAGGCGUAGUCGAUGGGAAACGGGUUAAUAUUCCCGUACUUGGUGUUACUGCGAAGGGGGGACGGAGAAGGCUAUGUUGGCCGGGCGACGGUUGUCCCGGUUUAAGCGUGUAGGUGUGUGUUCCAGGUAAAUCCGGUUCACUUUAACACUGAGGCGUGACGACGAGGCACUACGGUGCUGAAGCAACAAAUGCCCUGCUUCCAGGAAAAGCCUCUAAGCAUCAGGUAACACGAAAUCGUACCCCAAACCGACACAGGUGGUCAGGUAGAGAAUACCAAGGCGCUUGAGAGAACUCGGGUGAAGGAACUAGGCAAAAUGGUGCCGUAACUUCGGGAGAAGGCACGCUGACACGUAGGUGAAGUGAUUUACUCAUGGAGCUGAAGUCAGUCGAAGAUACCAGCUGGCUGCAACUGUUUAUUAAAAACACAGCACUGUGCAAACACGAAAGUGGACGUAUACGGUGUGACGCCUGCCCGGUGCCGGAAGGUUAAUUGAUGGGGUCAGCGCAAGCGAAGCUCCUGAUCGAAGCCCCGGUAAACGGCGGCCGUAACUAUAACGGUCCUAAGGUAGCGAAAUUCCUUGUCGGGUAAGUUCCGACCUGCACGAAUGGCGUAAUGAUGGCCAGGCUGUCUCCACCCGAGACUCAGUGAAAUUGAACUCGCUGUGAAGAUGCAGUGUACCCGCGGCAAGACGGAAAGACCCCGUGAACCUUUACUAUAGCUUGACACUGAACAUUGAGCCUUGAUGUGUAGGAUAGGUGGGAGGCUUUGAAGUGUGGACGCCAGUCUGCAUGGAGCCGACCUUGAAAUACCACCCUUUAAUGUUUGAUGUUCUAACGUGGACCCGUAAUCCGGGUUGCGGACAGUGUCUGGUGGGUAGUUUGACUGGGGCGGUCUCCUCCUAAAGAGUAACGGAGGAGCACGAAGGUUGGCUAAUCCUGGUCGGACAUCAGGAGGUUAGUGCAAUGGCAUAAGCCAGCUUGACUGCGAGCGUGACGGCGCGAGCAGGUGCGAAAGCAGGUCAUAGUGAUCCGGUGGUUCUGAAUGGAAGGGCCAUCGCUCAACGGAUAAAAGGUACUCCGGGGAUAACAGGCUGAUACCGCCCAAGAGUUCAUAUCGACGGCGGUGUUUGGCACCUCGAUGUCGGCUCAUCACAUCCUGGGGCUGAAGUAGGUCCCAAGGGUAUGGCUGUUCGCCAUUUAAAGUGGUACGCGAGCUGGGUUUAGAACGUCGUGAGACAGUUCGGUCCCUAUCUGCCGUGGGCGCUGGAGAACUGAGGGGGGCUGCUCCUAGUACGAGAGGACCGGAGUGGACGCAUCACUGGUGUUCGGGUUGUCAUGCCAAUGGCACUGCCCGGUAGCUAAAUGCGGAAGAGAUAAGUGCUGAAAGCAUCUAAGCACGAAACUUGCCCCGAGAUGAGUUCUCCCUGAGACUUAGAGUCUCCUGAAGGAACGUUGAAGACGACGACGUUGAUAGGCCGGGUGUGUAAGCGCAGCGAUGCGUUGAGCUAACCGGUACUAAUGAACCGUGAGGCUUAACCUUACAACGCCGAAG
rnacentral:rRNA from 1 species